rnacentral:rRNA from 1 species
AGUGAACGCUGGCGGUAGGCCUAACACAUGCAAGUCGAACGGCAGCACAGUAAGAGCUUGCUCUUACGGGUGGCGAGUGGCGGACGGGUGAGGAAUACAUCGGAAUCUACUUUUUCGUGGGGGAUAACGUAGGGAAACUUACGCUAAUACCGCAUACGACCUACGGGUGAAAGCAGGGGAUCUUCGGACCUUGCGCGAUUGAAUGAGCCGAUGUCGGAUUAGCCAGUUGGCGGGGUAAAGGCCCACCAAGGCGACGAUCCGUAGCUGGUCUGAGAGGAUGAUCAGCCACACUGGAACUGAGACACGGUCCAGACUCCUACGGGAGGCAGCAGUGGGGAAUAUUGGACAAUGGGCGCAAGCCUGAUCCAGCCAUACCGCGUGGGUGAAGAAGGCCUUCGGGUUGUAAAGCCCUUUUGUUGGGAAAGAAAAGCAGCAGGUUAAUACCCCGCUGUUCCGACGGUACCCAAAGAAUAAGCACCGGCUAACUUCGUG